rnacentral:rRNA from 1 species
ACCCGCUGAACUUAAGCAUAUCAAUAAGCGGAGGAAAAGAAACCAACAGGGAUUGCCUCAGUAACGGCGAGUGAAGCGGCAACAGCUCAAAUUUGAAAUCUGGCUCUUUCAGGGUCCGAGUUGUAAUUUGUAGAAGAUGCUUCGGGUGUGGUGCCGGUCUAAGUUCCUUGGAACAGGACAUCAUAGAGGGUGAGAAUCCCGUAUGUGACUGUGCGCCUACGCUCAUGUGAAGCUCUUUCAACGAGUCGAGUUGUUUGGGAAUGCAGCUCAAAAUGGGUGGUAUAUUUCAUCUAAAGCUAAAUAUUGGCCAGAGACCGAUAGCGCACAAGUAGAGUGAUCGAAAGAUGAAAAGCACUUUGGAAAGAGAGUUAAACAGUACGUGAAAUUGUUGAAAGGGAAGCGCUUGCAACCAGACUUGCGCGCGGUUGAUCAUCCGUGGUUCUCCACGGUGCACUCGAUCGUGCUCAGGCCAGCAUCAGUUUCGGUGGUUGGAUAAAGGUCGUGGGAAUGUGGCUCCUCUCGGGGAGUGUUAUAGCCCACGAUGCCAUGCAGCCAACUGGGACUGAGGACCGCGCUUCGGCUAGGAUGCUGGCGUAAUGGUUGU